UAUCAGCUUCUGCGGUGCAAUGUUGAUC
rnacentral:piRNA from 1 species